AAGCCAGACUCCUACGGGAGGCAGCAGUGAGGAAUAUUGGUCAAUGGACGAAAGUCUGAACCAGCCAUGCCGCGUGCAGGAAGACGGCUCUAUGAGUUGUAAACUGCUUUUGUACAAGGGUAAACCUGAAUACGUGUAUUCAGCUGAAAGUACUGUACGAAUAAGGAUCGGCUAACUCCGUGCCAGCAGCCGCGGUAAUACGGAGGAUCCAAGCGUUAUCCGGAUUUAUUGGGUUUAAAGGGAGCGUAGGCCGGCUUUUAAGUCAGCUGUGAAAGUCCGCGGCUCAACCGUGGAAUUGCAGUUGAAACUGGAGGCCUUGAGUGCACACAGGGAUGCCGGAAUUCAUGGUGUAGCGGUGAAAUGCUUAGAUAUCAUGAAGAACUCCGAUCGCGAAGGCAAGUGUCCGGGGUGCAACUGACGCUGAGGCUCGAAAGUGCGGGUAUCAAACAGGAUUAGAUCCCCCCGUA
rnacentral:rRNA from 1 species